GACGAACGCUGGCGGCGUGCUUAACACAUGCAAGUCGAACGGAAAGGCCCUGCUUUUGUGGGGUGCUCGAGUGGCGAACGGGUGAGUAACACGUGAGUAACCUGCCCUUGACUUUGGGAUAACUUCAGGAAACUGGGGCUAAUACCGGAUAGGAGCUCCUGCUGCAUGGUGGGGGUUGGAAAGUUUCGGCGGUUGGGGAUGGACUCGCGGCUUAUCAGCUUGUUGGUGGGGUAGUGGCUUACCAAGGCUUUGACGGGUAGCCGGCCUGAGAGGGUGACCGGCCACCUUGGGACUGCGAUACGGACCAGACUCCUACGGGAGGCAGCAGUGGGGAAUAUUGCACAAUGGGCGGAAGCCUGAUGCAGCAACGCCGCGUGCGGGAUGACGGCCUUCGGGUUGUAAACCGCUUUCGCCUGUGACGAAGCGUGAGUGACGGUAAUGGGUAAAGAAGCACCGGCUAACUACGUG
rnacentral:rRNA from 1 species